GGCUGUCACGCUCGCUCAGGCACGCGACAGCUGUUCCCCUCUGGAGGUUUUGACCUUCAAACUUAUCAGGCCGCGGGAAAUAUCCAGCGGCCUUUUUU
rnacentral:sRNA from 16 species